rnacentral:lncRNA from 1 species
GUUCCCCUUUACUUUUAAAACCUUUAUUUAUUUAUUUCACGUGCACAAAAUAGGUGUCAUGGAAACUCUGACCAGUUGCGACGACAACGGCCAACGUAAACACGGGUGUUGCCCAAAUGUCCAGUCUGGCCCCUUCCACUGCGACAACGGGAAUUAUUACAGGAUUUGCCAAAGAGACACCAUGACUGUGCACCAGUAGGAAAGAGACUGGCUACGGUUGCGUUUAUCAGGGUAUCUGCUUUGAAGAUGGCCAACGUCAAAUUUCUUUUUAUUAAUCCAAUGAACAAUACUGGUGGGUUUUCGAAUGGACGUGACAUACAGCAUGCGACCGUUCAUCCCUGGCAGGAGGAUCAGGUGGAUCGGGUCCAGAAGCCGGAAGCCCAUCAUACGCUGGUUGAGAGUGACGUCUGUGACGAGUUGGUGGCGGCCAAGACGAUUCUGUCGACUCAGUAGCUGCCGCAGUUGUUGCGGCCCAUCAAACGAGACGUCCAGCGGGUGAACCAGCGACGAUGGCCGAUAUUGACGAGAAAGUGAAUUGAUCGGAUCCAGCAUCCCGGCUGCCCACGGCUACUUGGACUCGGCCAGCCAGUCGGUGACCCAGCGUUGGUUGAGGGGUGAGCUGUCCAACUUCCAGUAUCUGAUGCACCUCAACACGCUGGCCGGCCGCUCCUACAACAAUCUGAUGCGGUACCCAUAUUGGCUCCGCGACGACACGGUCGAAAUGUGCACCAAGUGUCGCGUGAAAUUCUCGUUGACUGAGCGCCGACAUCACUGCCGCAACUGCGGGCACGUCUUCUGCUCCCGUUGCAGUCGCUACGAGUCUUGAAAUUAUGCAAUUGAGGAUCCGCCGGCCGGUGCGGGUGUGUCAGGAGUGCUACGCUUCUUUGAAAAUGUCCAGCGAUGGAACUUCUUAAUUUUCGACUGUCAAAAGACGAAGAGAUGUUUGACUUAACAAAAAAGAAAAUGGGCUAAUCUGUCAGAGAGUAGUGAAUCAAUGUCCAGUUAUGUAACGACACCCGCCCUUUGGCCCAAUGGAUCAGAGGGCGGGGCAAUUUAUAUCACAGGCUGAUAUCAGGUGUGUAGUGAUGAUUUCUAAAAAUUAGGGUUUUUAAAAACGACAGUCGUGUUUUAGCAGAUGAUGUUUAUACAAUCGACAUUCCAAUCGGCCCCCCACUCCUUUUAUUACCCUCCGGUUUGCCCACAAUCAAAUGCAUUUUUCUUUAUUCUUUUUAAAUCUGAUUAUUAUUUGAGAGAGAAUUUGACUAUUGGGGCAGAGUAGAUUGACUGUGUACUUGUGUAGCCUCCCCCCUCAGACGAAAAAAGAAAUGAAAACAAGAAAAUUUCUUAUUUAUGAUUUCAAGUAGCGAAAUCCAAUGUUUCUGUACACACAUUUGACUCCUCCCACUCUUUGGCUUUUGCAACCCCAUUCGACGACGAUAAAGAACCGUGCCGUUUUUCUUUUUUCUUUUUCGUGUUUCGAUUCUGUUUGAUUUCGUGUUUCCUUUCCCGUCAACUAAGAAAAAAAACAUCUCCUGCCUUUUUGCGACGCCCCACAGUCCAUCACACACACAAGAAAUGAAAAGAAAAAUUAUAAAAAAAAUAUUUGACCGUGUGCGCGUAGUGAGUAUUUGUGUGCAUCAUGUAGACCCGCCCCCCUCCACCCCAGCCCAGCAGAAAAAAAAUGAAAAUAAAAGUUGUUGGCAUUAUACAUGUUGUUUAUAUAAUAACAUUGUCGUCACCUCGUCAGUGUCAAAUUGAAAAAAAAAAAAACUGUUUGAUCGGGAAAUCUCAAUCCCUUUGAGGGAGAACAAAAACAAAAAAAGAAUAAAAA